rnacentral:lncRNA from 1 species
CACCAUUCCAAGGGAAGCUGUCCUUUCUCUACACGUCCUCAAGGUAUUCUGCCCCCACCCUGCCCCAGUCCACCUUUUCAGAAGUGUGUAGGAGGCAGCAGGUUGGCUCAGAUGAUAGGGACCUCCAGGACAGGGCAGGAGUUGAGGCUGAUUGACCACAUGUAGGAGACCCUCCAGAAACAUCAUUUGAUGGAGCUGGGAAGAGGAAGCCUUAACUGUCAUCUCCGCUGCCAUCCCCAUGGCCUGCUGCCUGCUUUUCCAACUGACCUCUCACCUAGGAAACCCCAGCAGGGCCAGUGCAGGGGUGGGGGCCUCCAUCCCUUGAAGUUCCAGCUCAUGCCUCGGCCGACACCUGGAGAAGAGCCUUGAGAACCUGUAUCCAGUAGUGCCUACCUCCCACUGCAGGACCAGCUCAGCAGCACCUGCAGAUCCAGAAACGGUACAACCACGAUGAGCACAAGGUUCAGUGCAGUUUUUUCAUCACCCUGGCACUCACACACAAGAGCUGGGAUCAGUGACAGCCGAAUGAUGCCCAGCACACAGCUAGGGGCCUAGGGACAGAGACCCCCCACACUUGGGUGAGGAACCAGCCAAAACGCAAACUUGUGGUUGUCAUGAUGACCAGGUUCUCUGUUCUAGUUCUCCACCUAACCCACCACAGACCUCAACACUUUGCUUGAUCAUCUCUGGAGAUGAAGAAGCCACCAAGUCUCUCACCACCGGCUAAGGAGCUCUGGGAGGCUGACAGCCAGGCUCCUCUAGCCUCUGCCCUUUGCUUCAGCUCCUGUUGAGGCCCAAGUCCUCACCUUCUCCAAAUGCUGCUAACAUCCUCAUUCCCACCCAGACCUUUCCUAGGUAAAAU